AUUGAACGCUGGCGGCAGGCUUAACACAUGCAAGUCGAGCGGAGAUGAGGUGCUUGCACCUUAUCUUAGCGGCGGACGGGUGAGUAAUGCUUAGGAAUCUGCCUAUUAGUGGGGGACAACAUUCCGAAAGGAAUGCUAAUACCGCAUACGUCCUACGGGAGAAAGCAGGGGAUCUUCGGACCUUGCGCUAAUAGAUGAGCCUAAGUCGGAUUAGCUAGUUGGUGGGGUAAAGGCCUACCAAGGCGACGAUCUGUAGCGGGUCUGAGAGGAUGAUCCGCCACAGUGGGACGGGGACACGGCCCAGACUCCGACGGGAGGAAGCAGUGGGGAAUAUUGGACAAUGGGGGGAACCCUGAUCCAGCCAUGCCGGGUGUGUGAAGAAGGCGUUAUGGUUGUAAAGCACUUUAAGCGAGGAGGAGGCUACUGAGACUAAUACUCUUGGAUAGUGGACGUUACUCGCAGAAUAAGCACCGGCUAACUCAGUGCCAGCAGCCGCCGUAA
rnacentral:rRNA from 1 species